rnacentral:rRNA from 1 species
UACGUAGGGUGCGAGCGUUGUCCGGAAUUAUUGGGCGUAAAGAGCUCGUAGGCGGCUUGUCGCGUCGGCUGUGAAAACCUAGGGCUCAACCCUGGGCCUGCAGCCGAUACGGGCAAGCUAGAAUUCGGUAGGGGAGACUGGAAUUCCUGGUGUAGCGGUGAAAUGCGCAGAUAUCAGGAGGAACACCGGUGGCGAAGGCGGGUCUCUGGGCCGAUAUUGACGCUGAGGAGCGAAAGCGUGGGGAGCGAACAGG